CGAACGAGUGGAGGAGCUUGCUUUUCUUAGUAGUGGCGAACGGGUGAGUAACGCGUGAGUACCUGCCCUGGAGUGGGGGACAACAGUUGGAAACGACUGCUAAUACCGCAUAAGGCCGCAUGGCAAAAGAUUUAUCGCUCUAGGAUGGACUCGCGUCCAAUUAGCUAGUUGGUGAGGUAACGGCCCACCAAGGCGACGAUUGGUAGCCGGACUGAGAGGUUGAACGGCCACAUUGGGACUGAGACACGGCCCAGACUCCUACGGGAGGCAGCAGUGGGGGAUAUUGCACAAUGGGGGAAACCCUGAUGCAGCGACGCCGCGUGGAGGAAGAAGGUUUUCGGAUUGUAAACUCCUGUCGUUAGGGACGAUAAUGACGGUACCUAACAAGAAAGCACCGGCUAACUACGUGCCAGCAGCCGCGGUAAAACGUAGGGUGCAAGCGUUGUCCGGAAUUACUGGGUGUAAAGGGAGCGCAGGCGGACCGGCAAGUUGGAAGUGAAAUCCAUGGGCUCAACCCGUGAAUUGCUUUCAAAACUGCUGGCCUUGAGUAGUGCAGAGGUAGGUGGAAUUCCCGGUGUAGCGGUGGAAUGCGUAGAUAUCGGGAGGAACACCAGUGGCGAAGGCGACCUACUGGGCACCAACUGACGCUGAGGCUCGAAAGCAUGGGUAGCAAACAGGAUUAGAUACCCUGGUAGUCCAUGCCGUAGACGAUGAUUACUAGGUGUUGGAGGAUUGACCUUCAGUGCCGCAGUUAACACAAUAAGUAAUCCACCUG
rnacentral:rRNA from 1 species